UUUGUUAUGGCAGCCUGAAACGACGCACGUGUUUCCACGUCGCUGCUCUACCAGCAACAAUGUGACUGGCAGCGGCACACGGCUGGAAUCCCCUACCCACCUCCUCCCUCCCCACACAAACACACCAUCUCCCAACACCUCCCCCAGGGACUGCGCGCGGAUGUACUACCUCCCCCACUCAGGGUUGGGCAGAAACCCCUGGGUCGAGCGAGCGCGGAGACCCCCCAGCAAAAAAAGGGAUCAACGUUGGAAAAUACAACAUGAAUGCUCUUAUCACGACUCAAAAUUAACAUAAACAACAUCGUAAGCAACCGUUCCCCUGCGUGAGUUCUCUUCAGUAUCACGGCAGCAAUUGGUUUCAAUUGAAUUCCGUGCCCCAGAUCAAGCAAACUCGAGUCCAAUUCGUGAUUCAUAUUUCAAUGUACCCUGCCCAAAAGUGCAGAAGAUUGGCCAGUGACGAAAAAGAUCGUGCUUGAUUGCAAGAGACCAACCCAACGUUGAACAUCUUGGGAUAGAGCCACUGUAUUGACCGUCGAUAAUAGUUGACUCAGACUUCGAAAAACUAAAACAGGAGAUAGGCUGGAACCUGUAGAGUUGUAAAUUAAGGUAAUUCACUGUCGAUAGGAACUGGAAAGAAAUUCUGUAUUCCUACAGUGUCCAUUUAACUCAGCACCUGUGCUACUGUUAAAGGUGACAUCUUCAGUGCGGUAGAGCCUCCUGUGAAGCGCUGUUGUUCAAAUUUAUAUGCUCUGGCUAUGGUGUGGAUUUCUUGGACACUUUUGUCACAUGUCAGCGGGUCUUAAGCUAUUUCAGCAACCACCCUAACUCUCACAUGAGGAGCUGCGUUAGGACACUGUUCAAAAGGGCCACUACACACUGCAACACACCUGAUCUGAGGAAGGAAGAAGACCCUCUACAAGGUUUUUACCAGGAAUGGAUACCCCCACAGCUUCAUCCACAGAUGGCUAGCCAACAGACAACAUAACCAGGACACAACAAAACCCAAAACAAUAUAUGAAAAACACCUCCGAACUGACAGUCAGACUGCUAGGAAUCAUGACUGCACUCAAACCAGCAGCCGCACUAAGACAGCAACUGACCAGAGUUAAGGACGCAAUAGAUACCAUGGACAGGAUGAAUAUGGUCUACAAGAUACCAUGCAGAGACUGCACAAAAUACUACAUGGGACAAACAGGCAGACAACUGGCAACCCACAUCCAUGAACGCCAGUUAGCAAUUAAAUGACACAACCAGAUGUCCUUGGUUUCAAUACACUCAGACGAACAAAACCACACUUACAACUGGGACAACACUACUAUCAUUGGACAAACUAAAAAGAGGACAGGCAUUCAUCUGCAGACUCCAUCAACAAACACGUGGAAUUAGACCCAACAUGCUGACCAUUACAACGCACAGACGGAACUGGCACCUACCAAAAACAGCAAAAACCAGACCUUAUGAAUUCAAACUGGCACUGACAGCAGUGCAUGACUAGGAUAACUAACUGGAUCACAUAAUAGGCCCAAGUCACUCAUGUCAAGAGAAGAAACUGUUCUUUGAAGGAUAUGGGUUCAAAUCUGUCUCUUGACUUCAUCUUUCCAGGCAAUUACCAUGCAUUUACAUAGGACAGGACUUCUAAAGGAUUCUGAUGCUCUAAAGUGGUGGAUGUAGCCAACUUGUGCUGUGCUGGUGUCCCUACCCUUGGACUGCAAGCCCCAGUUCAAGUCUCAUCUGCUCCUGAGAUUCCACAUUUCAUUUGUCACUGAUUUGAUUUCCUUCCUUGGCCAAUGGGAAGAUCUGGGACUAGAAUCAGCCAAGACUUAAAAAUGUACAGACGACAUCUCUCUUUUAUUUAAAAAGCUUUUUCAGCCUUGCUGCUUGCAGAGUCUGUCUCCUAGUUCAAAUCUCUGCUAUCUGCAACAAAAUGUGCGAGAUUACAAAUAAAAAAAACUGUAUUACAAUCCCCUCUUUCUUAGUUCAUGAGUAGAUUGUUGCAAUUAUUUGUUUCCAAAACGUAAACUAUAAACCUCAGCAUAAAUAGAACAUUCAGUGAAUUACACAUUUUCUAGCUUUGUAUUCAUCUACUGCUGCACUUGUUUAUAGAUGAGAUGAAAAGUUUGUUGACCAACUGAAAACAGUUCAAUUUGUAACAUGGUAUGGUCAACGUUUUCACUCCAUGAAUUUAACGGUGUAUAAUGUUAACUGUAGUCUCACGUAAAUCGUGUUCUUCAUUUGAGAUGUUUGACAUGGAAAUGGCAUUCACUGUUAACGAAUGAUGUUUUGGUAGUGGUGUGCAUUGAAGAAUGACAUUUUAUGUAAUGAUUUGUGAACUGUGCUUAGCAGUAAUCAAUGAUAAUUUUUGUGUUGGCUACAAUAAAUGGCUGGAUGCCACGAGGGUUUGCUUACUUUCUAACAUGAGCAUCAUGUUUCACAAGAUUUUGUUUUUCUCAUAAGUGAGAGGUUUUUAGGUCCAGAAACAGUCAGA